GGUAAGAUGGCUGAGUUUUAAGCGGUGGAUUGUAGCCCCAUAGAUAAAGGUUAAAAUCCUUUUCUUAUCA
rnacentral:tRNA from 1 species